GACAUUUGGUAGAGACUGUGAGGCCACCUGGUCCCAGCAGACCCCAGAGAACGGCACAUUCACUGGUGCUGGCACAAGGUCAUUAAGGGUGAAGCCUGGUGCCAGAUGUGU
ensembl:rRNA 5S_rRNA 5S ribosomal RNA